rnacentral:rRNA from 1 species
CAGUAGCCACGGUAAUACAGAGGGUGCGAGCGUUAAUCGGAUUUACUGGUCGUAAAGCGUGCGUAGGCGGCUUCUUAAGUCGGAUGUGAAAUCCCUGAGCUUAACUUAGGAAUUGCAUUCGAUACUGGGAAGCUAGAGUAUGGGAGAGGAUGGUAGAAUUCCAGGUGUAGCGGUGAAAUGCGUAGAGAUCUGGAGGAAUACCGAUGGCGAAGGCAGCCAUCUGGCCUAAUACUGACGCUGAGGUACGAAAGCAUGGGGAGCAAACAGGAUUAGAUACCCGCGUAGUCCCUGUCUCUUAUAC